AAAAAAAAAAAAAAAAAAAAACACAACAAAACAAAAGAUAGUUCAAAUAUUCAGUUUUAAUCACAGGAAACAUUAUAGAUUUUAGAUAACCACAAACCAUAGAAUUUAGUAUUAGACAAGAAAGGACACAUGCUAAAAAAAUUGUGCAUUGUGUGGUGGCAAAUUAGCAUACUACACUACCUAUAAAAUACACACUUGCACAAAAUAAGCAAUCCAUUAUGGUAAUUAUACACAGGAAACUUAUUCAGACAAGGUUGUUUGCAGUCAUCUUAGUUUCUGAAUUUGGCACGACAAAAUCUGAAAAUGUGGAAAGAAUCUCAGCAAUCAACCCCACUGAGUCACAGCAUUCUCUUCACCUAAUUGAACACUGCUAAAAUUUAAUUAAGAUUUCCCCAACAGAGUGUUAUUUAUAGUCAAAGUGCUCCAAAUAUGCUUAGACUGAAAAGGUACCAAAAUAUAGAUGGCCUUUUGAACCGAAGCAUCAUAUAUUCUACACAUGUAAAUAUGUAGAAAUAUUUAUUUUUACUACACUUAAUGAUAUUUACAUCACUUAAUAUCAUUUAACCCAAAAGACCCUGUGACAAGUACUGUCAUACAGUUUUCUUUAGCAGUCUGAGAUUGAAUAGUCCAGUCUUGCUGUGUUCAUAAACCCUCAUUAGUUGCUUAUUCAAUGAUCAUCUUAUUUGCUUAACCUACUUUACCAAAAUCUACCACAGAUUUUGGUGAGCAUUUUAGUUAUCGCUAAUGAUGCGACACCAGAGAAAAUCCCCAGUCAUGGUUUUCUGCCUGCGUUUUAGCCAGGCAGGCAGGCAGGCAGGCCUCUGUAAAAUUCCACAAGCAGCCCUGAACGCACUGAAACUAGGUCAGCACUGUUAUUGCAGAGAGAGAAAGAGAGGAGGAGGGAGAGCAAUGGAGAGAGAAAGAGAGAGAGAGAGAGAGAGAGAGAGAGAGAGAGAGAGGGGGGAAGAAAGCAAGAUCCAGGCCUGGAGACAGGAACAGCCACAAACACACACUUACACAUGCACAGAAACACACGCACACUGACACUCACACACAGGCAGUCAACAAGCUGCAUGCACAAGCACACACACUCUCCUCUCAACACGCAAAUACAUUUGCAGGCGUGUAAGCACAUAUGAACCGGUCUGUCCAUAAACAAGUGGCUUGACAGCUAGCGUUACCCAGCAUACCACAAAUGCAGCUGCUGAGAGUGUGCAAAGGAUGUAUACCAGAAGACCUGUAUAAUAAUAGAUGUUACGUAAGAGUACAUUUAGACAGGAAGAGUUGUGCAAUUGUUGUGGCUGUGGCCGCUAAGGCAAGGCCUAAGAAUGACACAGUUUGGCGUUUGCAUAGUAAUGGACAAACACAUCUGCCACCCCCUCAUUUUCUCUGUACGUCUGUCCCUAUUUAUCUCUCCCUCUCACCCUCCUUUUCUCUUCGCAUAUGACGCACACACUGCCUCUCAACAAACAGUCCCUGGCGCAAGAGGCUGGCCAAGCGUGACAGGGCCUUUGCCUCCCCCCUCUGACUGCCCCUCUACUUAAACAUGCGACCAACUGAAAGAGUUAGAGCUGAAGAAUUAAGGUGAUGCAUUUUGCACACCUCAGAACAUUAUGUCAAGUAUAUGCUAUUAACAAAUCGACUUUAUCCUACAAGUAGGAAAUUAAAAACUAGCGUCAGAAACGCGUCAUCAGCCGAAACGUUAAAUGCAUGCUAGUCUUGCAGAUGAAGAUUUUCAAUUUAAGCUCUUGAGAUAACUUGUUUUAUAAUGCCGGUUGGGAAUCGAGAAGAGUCUCGGAAGAAGCCGGGUAUUGGGCUAAAGGUCUUGCGUUUAACUGUGUCACUGAAACAGACCAUGCACUGAAUGGCAGUGGAAAAGGGUAAUGAGUGAAGGCCGCCUGUUUCCGUGUGGCCGUGACGGGGCCCAUCAGGGUGAGGCGGACUGUGAAAAGGGGGCAGUCGCUAGAUACUGAACUCUGCACAACCCCCUGCCAAAAACAUGGUGGAGCCAGCCAGAGGAGAGAUGAGGGGUAGGGAAAGAAGCGAAAAGGAGGAGUGGGCUGUUUUGGAAGCAGUUGGGAGAUGGAGCCGGAUGGUCCGAGGUUGGGUUCAUGGUGGCUGAAAUGUUUCCCUGCUCACUGCUGAUCAAAGACCGUCUUUAACAUGACAUAUGGAUCAGCAGACACUAAUGAGAGGGCAGUGGCCAGCUGAAUCUCCACAGUAACAAAAGAGGCUGGGACAUCUGGAGUCAGCCACACACAGACUCCUGGUGAGUUUUGGGGGAGCUGCCGAACGUCCGCCUGUAAUGGGAGGACUGGAUAACAAAUAUGGCAGUGGGCAGAUGAAUGAAAUGUCAAGUUAACCCUCUGACGUUUCAUGGUUUUGUUAUCAGUCUGAGGACAAAUAAUCAGUGUUUACAAUACAAUAUCAGAUUUGCAAUACAAGGUAGUAGAAAAAAAUGUCAUACUAUUUGCAAACCUACUUGUCACAUUUAAAAACAAAAUAUUGAAAGAAAAGGUAACAAAACAAGAAAAACCCUUUCUCUAUGCCUGGCUUUUACAUUUUCCUAUGCCCCUCAUUUAAUAAUAAAUGCAUAGCGCAGAGGAAGUAGAAUCGAAAAAAAUGUAUAUAUAAUAUUGCUGCAUUUUAUGUAUAUAUUUUUACAUACAUAUAUCGCUCUUGGUACUGCCAUGUAUAAUUGCAUUUUGUAUUUGACUUUGAGAGUAAAGAAUUUUUUACUAAUUUAAUUUUGAUAUCUGUUAAUUGUUUGAAACAAUUGCUGUUCUGUCGCCUUUUUAUUUUUGUAUCUCUCUGAUUGAAUAGCAUCAAUAAAAAGAGUUAAACAAAAAAACUGCACAAUGCUAUUGGUAUGACUAUUGGUCUGCAAUUGCAAAUUUUAAUGCAAUAUUUUUUUCUUUAUUACCUAUUUUUGUUGCAAUUUCCUUUAUUUUAAAAUAUAUUUUUAAUUAUUCGAUAUUUAAUUAUCACUUGGUUUGUCCAUGCUGUUAAUAUAUGAUAUUAAUUACUGUUUCUUGCAUUGUCUUGAUGUUGCUUAAAAUGCUCUGAUUGUAAGUUCAUCCCUGUUUUAUAUUUACAUGACAUGUACCUAAAAUGUUCUUAUAUUGUAAUAAAUGAUUUGCUCUAUAUAGCUCCAGUCUGACAUAUUUGUAACAGCUUACAUGAAGAUAAAUAAAUCCAUAUGAAUGAUUGGCA